rnacentral:rRNA from 1 species
UACGUAGGGUGCAAGCGUUGUCCGGAAUUAUUGGGCGUAAAGAGCUCGUAGGCGGUUUGUCGCGUCUGCUGUGAAAACUCGGGGCUUAACCCCGGGCCUGCAGUGGGUACGGGCAGACUAGAGUGCGGAGGGGAGACUGGAAUUCCUGGUGUAGCGGUGAAAUGCGCAGAUAUCAGGAGGAACACCGGUGGCGAAGGCGGGUCUCUGGGCCGAUACUGACGCUGAGGAGCGAAAGCGUGGGGAGCGAACAGG